CAUCAGAAACAACGGGAGCCAAUAAAACCGGUCAGACCGCUGCUACAACAAAUUCUGCCAAUUCCAACAACGUUCCGUCGACGACGGAACCACCGUCGGUGAAAGCCGAAACCACAAAUGGCACAGAGAGU
rnacentral:ribozyme from 1 species